UUUAUAAACGCACAAUAUUAUAACUGUCACACCAAAGCAAAUGUGAAUGUUAGAAAAAAGAGAAAAAGAAAAAAAACCAAGUAGUCGAUGCUAUCUAAAUUGAAUAAAUGAGAGUGCGAAGAAAUGAGAGUUUAUUUUUUUU
ensembl:ncRNA T22C8.10 ncRNA